GUAUGCUCUUGUCUGGAGAGUGGAGCAGAAUCAGGCCCAUUUGCUCACUGCAGUUCCUGCUGCAUAAGGCGGUGGGAAUGAUAUGAUGCUCUUCCCCAGGAAUUAACAUUGGAUGAGGCAUGUGUUUAACCGCGGUAGGUCGGGCUCUCCAAGUGUUUUUAGAGUAAGACCCCCUCUUCUUUCCAGAUGGUGAAAUGUCUCUGAAGAGUUCUCACUCUGGAUAGACUUUUUUAUUUAACUGCUUGGCCUCUGCCCAAGGGAGUCUGUGUGGCUUUAUGGGAAAGGAUUUUUAGUUGUGCAGAAAUGGUGGUGUGCACAUUUGAAUGUGUGUACCCAGUGGAUCAUUCAGCUAUGGAUGAAAUUGUACUGUUACAAUGUUUGUGCGUAUGCAUUGAUUGCACUUAUCUGAAAAGUUAUAAUCCUUACUCAGUCAAAGCUUCUGGUAUUAUACGUCUGCUUGAUAUGCUCUGUCUGUGCUCUGCAAGGCUCUGUUAAGCCCAUUACCACCUCCUUCCCUGCUGCAUACUUGUCUUUAUCAUCUUGUGCCUUGCACCCAGUUAGAAAGUAGCUGCGUAGCUGGGUCUGCUGCCCAGUUGUGCUUGUGGGAAAUAAAUGAUUUCCUCAGGGUCUGGUGGCUGAGGGUGGUGGAACAGCAGGGUUAGGGAACCCAGACCCUCCCCUUGGUGUCCAGAAACGAUCACGAUAUUUCUGUUGCUCCCUGAAAGGAUGUAUAUACUCUGUAUCUGCAGGGAGACAGAUUAGAUCUGACUUCUAGGAGAACACCAUUUUAAUUCUCUUUUCUUCUAAAUGGAUGGGAGGAAGGUCAGAUGAGGAGAGAGGAAGAGCUCUGAGAAUUAAAAGGUGAGGGUGGUAUAAGACUGGUGAGGACUUGAUAUUAAUCUAGGUUUGAAAUUAAAGGUGUUUCCCAUUUACUGUGGUGCUAAGAUAUGGAACAUCUUCCUGUAGGGGCAGAAUGAGAUCAGGUUGCUUGGUGGAGAGAGUUUUACCGGGUUUUGAAGAGGGUUGGUUAUGAAACAAUGCUGCAUGUGCUCACAGGGCUUUUGCCUGGUGUUCUGGGAAGUCCUCCCUGGUGUGUGGGUGUGUGUCUGUCUGCCUGUGAUUCUCAAGGUCUGUUUGGUGUCUUGAAGGCCUUUUGGCUUUCCAGGUAGAGGAAAUGCUGUGUUGAUACAAAAGUAUUGUCUCACAUGCCAUGGGACUGAUGGGUGGAAAGGUGUUGUCUUAUCUGGGGAACAACAUUUUGGGGAUGUCUGUGUCUUUUAAAAGGAUGCGUUGCAGGUAGCUGACAUGACCAUUUGUUAAUCAGCUGCAGAGUAACGAUGUUGGGGGAUAGCAUUAGAAUUAGUGUUAGUGCUUGUGUCCUGCAGAUGAAUUUGGCUAAUGCUGAAGCAUGACCUACCAAAAGUUAGUAUCUCUGACAGCUGCAUCCCUAACUAGCUGAAAGAAGACAGGAGCACAGGGUUUACAUCCUUCAGGGGUGAAGAGGGGAAGGGAGAACAGCAGGCUUGGCAAUGCCAGUGGGGGACAAGCUUUCCUUUCUUUUGGUGAGGACAGAGGAAAUCAGACCUUUUGGGACAUAUACAAGGGGUGAUGAGACCACUGGUGCAUUUUUCUCACUCUCUGUUCCUUACUGGGAUGGCUUCAGCUGCAACUGAACAUAAUACCUAGAGUCAUGAAGCCUGCUUCUGUCUGGAGACAGUUUGAGGAGAGACAUUGUGUCUGCCUUUUUCUUGCAUAGCCUAGGCUUAGAAACACUUCCUAAAGCACACAGUGGGUUUUUUCCUAAGUGCCUGUGGGUAUUGAGGUUGGCAAGUCAAAAGUAAGGUUAUCUGAGGACCCCAUGCAUUCACCAGGGUUACUAUAGUUGCUGCUUCUGCUCUAGCUGUAACAAAUUCACAUGCUCACAUGAGGACCAAGAGGGUAAUCGUGAGAUACGUCAGGGCUGUUUGCCCCAGAGCUCUGUCAUCACAAGAUGGGAAACAAUUCCUCAGUAACACUGCAUGAUGCAGUGUUACCUGUCAUGUGGUGAGUACCCAUCACCUCAUGGAAGGGGCUGUGCAAAAUAGGCCUUCAGAGCUCCGCUGUGCAAGUAUCCUCCUCUCCCAGGCAUCUGUUAUGAAAGCCUAUGCUUUGACACCAUGGUAGGGGUGUUUCAUACCCACAGGGGAGGAGGCAUGCAGGAAUAGUCUGGAUCCAGGUGGUGGGUUGUGCAUGACCCCUGCUCUGAGAAAGGUGGCGUAGGUUGGAUGUUUGAUAUUCUGGAAAAGCAUCCUUGUGGUGUAGAGUUUUCAGGGCUUCCAGUCCAGGUAGUUUUACACUCCUACCCUAAAACCUGCUGUGUGACCUUUGGGAAACUCACUGGUACCUGUGUGUGCCUCAGGUCUUCCCCCUUCUCUCGUUGGCUAGAUCAGUUAUCUCCAUGGCGGCAUCUUCUCUUGCUCCACAUCAGUGCUGUGGCCCUCAGCCUGAGCACAGCCCUGGUUUUGAGGUGGUAAUAACUCAAAGCCUUUGUGGAAGCUUAAUCUUCUAAAGGGUCUGAGCUUCAUCUCAUCUGCUCCAGGGAGGCACGUCUGGGAGGGAAAGGGAAGAUGUAAGGGAAAGUUUUGGCUGCAAGAUGGAGCAGCAUGAUGUUUUUUAUUCAGUGCUUUGCUGGCCAAGCAGGGCUCUGAGUGCUGCUAUUGCUUCUCUGUCAGCUUCUUCCACUGGAAACUCCAGGCCCCUUCUCUCCUCUACCUUGGAUAAAUAACCGCUGUCUCAAGACCUGCAGGAGUGCCAGAUGGAAAGCAUUCCCUUCCUUUCAGACUUGCUGGGCACACAGGACUCGUUUACAGCUUGCUGGCAUGUGCUCGUCAUUCAGAGAGCUGACCAGGCACUGCCUCUUUGGCAUGAGCAGAGGGAAGCCAGGCUCCAGGACACAAAAGAAGUAAAGGAGAAGGGAUUUGUAGAGCAGCUGAAUGCAGCCGUCAUGCCUGUGCUGGCAGCGCAAAGGUGUUCAGUCAACACAACAGGAGCAGGGCUGAUCCCAAGCUGCAGGAAGACAAUCUGCUCAGCCUUGUAACUGUGUUGCUUUUGGCCAGGCCUCUCCAAACACCCAUCAGACACCCCUACCUCAGAGCAGCCCUCAGAAGCAAAUACCUCUGGGAGGAAAAUUUAACCUGCAACAAGUUUGAGACCACGAAGCAAAUUAGUGGCAUGGUUUGUGAUACCACCAGAAGGUGUAAUUUCUCCACCCGUGCUUGGGCACUGCUAGGUACCACUAAUGUUUUGGGAACAGACACACUUUAAAGGGAUGAAAAAAUAUUCUUACAUCCCAUCCAGCAUUGGCCUUUUCUCCUUGAUAGAAUCACUUACAGUGGGAGGGCUUUGGGAAGGAAUGGGGAGCUGGCAGUGGUGGGAAUGCCUACAGGAGUAAAAGCAGGCUGUGGAAACAUGUUGGUACACAGAGGGAGUAAUAUGGAUGGCAGCAAGAUGCCCAGGAGGGGUUCUGUGUGCUCAAGCCUCUCACUGGGACUCCAGCAGCCUUUGGUAGAACUGGAGAGGUGAAGUGCAGAGUGGUUCUAAUAUCCAACCCUUGUGGAAGCAGCAGAAAGAGGACUUGUCCAUCACUGAACUCUUUUCAAGUGGCACAAGCUCUUAGGCCCCUGGAUAAAGUGACUGCACAACAAACUGCCCCACCUUUCCAUCCUUCUCAUGUACAACUGAGCUGGCUGCAUGCAAAACAUGGUGGGACCCUCGCAAGGCAAUGGUGCGGCGUCUCAGUCUCAACCAGAGUUGCUGGUGGGUCCCUGCAAUCCCUGAAUUUCUGCAAUUUGCAACAGUCCUCCCUGGUGAGUGAAGAAGCAGAGACCAUGCUUUCCAGAGCAAUCCGUGCAGCACAGUUUGUCACUGCUGAAACUGUCUACAUGAAAGCACAC